UACGAAGGGGGCUAGCGUUGCUCGGAAUCACUGGGCGUAAAGGGUGCGUAGGCGGGUCUUUAAGUCAGGGGUGAAAUCCUGGAGCUCAACUCCAGAACUGCCUUUGAUACUGAGGAUCUUGAGUUCGGGAGAGGUGAGUGGAACUGCGAGCGUAGAGGUGAAAUUCGUAGAUAUUCGCAAGAACACCAGUGGCGAAGGCGGCUCACUGGCCCGAUACUGACGCUGAUGCACGAAAGCGUGGGGAGCAAACAGG
rnacentral:rRNA from 1 species